rnacentral:rRNA from 1 species
UACGUAGGGUGCAAGCGUUGUCCGGAAUUAUUGGGCGUAAAGAGCUCGUAGGCGGUUUGUCGCGUCUGCUGUGAAAACUCAGGGCUUAACCCUGAGCCUGCAGUGGGUACGGGCAGACUAGAGUGUGGUAGGGGAGAUCGGAAUUCCUGGUGUAGCGGUGGAAUGCGCAGGAUAUCAGGAGGAACACCGGUGGCGAAGGCGGAUCUCUGGGCCAUAACUGACGCUGAGGAGCGAAAGCAUGGGGAGCGAACAG